UUAUGGCUGCUUUACUGAGACCUGUCCCCUCUGCAUGAAGCCCUUGCAGAAGAAGCAGAGGCUGAUGUGUACUCAUGCGUUCUGUGCAGCCUGUUUGGAGAGAUCUGUGGAAAGCCUUGGUCUUCAGUGUCCAGUGUGUCUAACAGCACUCACAGUGGUGGGAGACCAGCCAGAGGGACAGAUAACCGUGAAACAUUUCGAAGACUUGCUUGGAAAUGUUUUUUUCUCUAUUACCUACAAUAUUCCCAAUGGAAUACAGACAGAGGCCCAUCCCAACCCAGGGAAGCCCUUUACUGGAAUCAAAACACAGGCCUGGUUACGAAAAAGCCGAGAGAGCCGGGAGGUGCUGAAGCUGCUGCAAAGAGCCUUUAACCAGAAUCUGGUUUUUACUGUGGCUGCAACCGAUGAAGAGGGAGACAGAGUCGUCUACACUGACAUCCCCCAUGCAGCAGACAGGAGUGAGUGCUCGCAUCCUGGCUUCCUGAAUAAAAUGAAGGCGGCACUCAGUGCCAAAUUCAUUGAAUGAUUGGAUGAACAGAGACAUCAGAUCCUCAGCACAGCACCACCAAAUGGACCAGAAGAGAAAAUCACAACAUUACAAAGAUGGGCACACGAUAGACAGACAUUAGAGACCGAGAGGAACCAGCCAGUUGGCCUUUGCACUCUAUGAGGUCAGGAAGCAGAAUCAUAACUGAAGAUAGUAGCAGGUCACUGCUUUAGAAACACAUAUGUGAUAAAUCUACUCAAUCCUGAUGGA